rnacentral:rRNA from 1 species
CAGUAGGGUGCCAUCAAGAGGUGUAUUUGGAAAUAUCCCUAAUCACGGAUCAC